rnacentral:rRNA from 1 species
GAUGAACGCUGGCGGCGUGCCUAAUACAUGCAAGUCGGGCGAACGGACGAGAAGCUUGCUUCUCUGAUGUUAGCGGCGGACGGGUGAGUAACACGUGGAUAACCUACCUAUCAGACUGGGAUAACUUCGGGACACCGGAGCUAAUACCGGAUAAUAUUUUGAACCGCAUGGUUCAAAAGUGAAAGACGGUCUUGCUGUCACUUAUAGAUGGAUCCGCGCUGCAUUAGCUGGUUGGUAAGUUAACGGCUUACCAAGGCAACGAUGCAUAGCCGACCUGAGAGGGUGAUCGGCCACACUGGAACUGAGACACGGUCCAGACUCCUACGGGAGGCAGCAGUAGGGAAUCUUCCGCAAUGGGCGAAAGCCUGACGGAGCAACGCCGCGUGAGUGAUGAAGGUCUUCGGAGCGUAAAACUCUGCUAUUAGGGAAGAACAUAUGUGUAAGUAACUGUGCAGAGCUUGACGGUACCUAAUCAGAAAGCCACGGCUAACUACGUG